ACUGUUCAGUGAUGAAGCCAUGGAAUAAACACUGAGCACGGUUCCUAACAUGCAUGAGGAAAGGCUCCAUGCUGCCUUCCUUCUGAGGACAGC
rnacentral:snoRNA from 1 species